UACGUAGGGACCAAGCGUUGUCCGGAAUCAUUGGGCGUAAAGAGCGUGUAGGCGGCUUGUUAAGUCUUGCGUGAAAUCUCGGGGCUCAACCCCGAGCGGUCGUGAGAAACUGGCAGGCUAGAGUGCGGGAGAGGAGAGUGGAGUUCCUGGUGUAGCGGUGAAAUGCGCAGAUAUCAGGAAGAACACCCGUGGCGAAGGCGGCUCUCUGGGACGGUACUGACGCUGAGACGCGAAAGCGUGGGGAGCGAACAGG
rnacentral:rRNA from 1 species